UGAGUAACACGUGAGUGACCUGCCUUUUAGACUGGAACAACUUACCGAAAGGUGAGCUAAUGCCGGAUGAGUUAUAUAAGUGCAUGUUUAUAUAGGAAAAGUUGGGGAGACCUGACGCUGAAAGAUGGACUCGCGUCCCAUUAGCUAGUUGGUAGGGUAAUGGCCUACCAAGGCGACGAUGGGUAGCCGGCCUGAGAGGGUGGCCGGCCACACUGGGACCGAGACACGGCCCAGACUCCUACGGAAGGCAGCAG
rnacentral:rRNA from 1 species